rnacentral:rRNA from 1 species
AAUAUUGCGCAAUGGAGGAAACUCUGACGCAGCGACGCCGCGUGAACGAUGAAGGUCUUCGGAUCNUAAAGUUCUGUCCUUGGGGANGAAGAUCUUCGGAUUUGACGGUACCCAAGAAGAAAGCCCCGGCUAACUACGUGCCAGCAGCCGCGGUAAUACGUAGGGGGCGAGCGUUGUCCGGAAUUAUUGGGCGUAAAGGGUGCGUAGGCGGCCUUUUAAGUCAGGUGUGAAAGCCCACGGCUUAACCGUGGGAUUGCAUUUGAAACUGGAGGGCUUGAGUAUCGGAGAGGGUAGUGGAAUUCCCAGUGUAGCGGUGAAAUGCGUAGAUAUUGGGAGGAACACCAGUGGCGAAGGCGACUACCUGGACGAAAACUGACGCUGAUGCACGAAAGCUAGGGGAGCAAAC